UACGUAGGGGGCAAGCGUUGUCCGGAUUUAUUGGGCGUAAAGAGCUCGUAGGCGGUCUGUCGCGUCGGAUGUGAAAAUCCAGGGCUCAACCCUGGACCUGCAUUCGAUACGGGCAGACUAGAGUUCGGCAGGGGAGACUGGAAUUCCUGGUGUAGCGGUGAAAUGCGCAGAUAUCAGGAGGAACACCGGGUGGGCGAAGGCGGGGUCUCUGGGCCGAAACUGACGCUGGAGGAAGCGAAAGCGUGGGGAGCAAACAGG
rnacentral:rRNA from 1 species